rnacentral:RNase_P_RNA from 1 species
UAACCGGGACAGGUGAUCGCGGCUGCGCGAAAGCGCAGGUGAGGAAAGUCCGGGCUUCACAGGGCAGGAUGCCGGAUAACGUCCGGUGGAGGUGACUCCCAGGCCAGUGCAACAGAAAUAAACCGCCAGCGUAAGCUGGUAAGGGUGGAAAGGUAGUGUAAGAGACUACCGCCUCGACGGUAACGGCGAGGGCACAUGUAAACCCCAUCCGAAGCAAGACCAAACAGAGAGCGUAAGGCGGCCCGUCUGCUCUCGGGUAGGUCGCUUGAAUCUGGCGGCGACGUCAGAUCUAGACAGAUGAUCAUCCAACGACAGAACCCGGCUUAUCGGCCCGGUUACCUG